GAUGAACGCUGGCGGCGUGCCUAAUACAUGCAAGUCGAGCGAACAGACGAGGAGCUUGCUCCUCUGACGUUAGCGGCGGACGGGUGAGUAACACGUGGAUAACCUACCUAUAAGACUGGGAUAACUUCGGGAAACCGGAGCUAAUACCGGAUAAUAUAUUGAACCGCAUGGUUCAAUAGCGAAAGACGGUUUUGCUGUCACUUAUAGAUGGAUCCGCGCCGCAUUAGCUAGUUGGUAAGGUAACGGCUUACCAAGGCAACGAUGCGUAGCCGACCUGAGAGGGUGAUCGGCCACACUGGAACUGAGACACGGUCCAGACUCCUACGGGAGGCAGCAGUAGGGAAUCUUCCGCAAUGGGCGAAAGCCUGACGGAGCAACGCCGCGUGAGUGGUGAAGGUCUUCGGAUCGUAAAACUCUGUUAUUAGGGAAGAACAAAUGUGUAAGUAACUAUGCACGUCUUGACGGUACCUAAUCAGAAAGCCACGGCUAACUACGUG
rnacentral:rRNA from 1 species